AAGCAGGGGAUCGUAAGACCUUGCGCUUUUGGAGCGGCCGAUGCCUGAUUAGCUAGUUGGUGGGGUAAAAGCCUACCAAGGCAACGAUCAGUAGUUGGUCUGAGAGGACGACCAGCCACACUGGGACUGAGACACGGCCCAGACUCCUACGGGAGGCAGCAGUGGGGAAUUUUGGACAAUGGGCGAAAGCCUGAUCCAGCAAUGCCGCGUGAGUGAAGAAGGCCUUCGGGUUGUAAAGCUCUUUCAGUCGAGAAGAAAAGGUUGUGAUGAAUAAUCACAACUCAUGACGGUAUCGACAGAAGAAGCACCGGCUAACUACGUGCCAGCAGCCGCGGUAAUACGUAGGGUGCAAGCGUUAAUCGGAAUUACUGGGCGUAAAGGGUGCGCAGGCGGCUUUGUAAGUCAGAUGUGAAAUCCCCGGGCUUAACCUGGGAAUUGCGUUUGAAACUACAAAGCUAGA
rnacentral:rRNA from 1 species